rnacentral:lncRNA from 1 species
AAAACAGCACGAUUUCUCCCUUUCGCGCGUGGAUUUACGUCUUGUCCCGCUUGAUGAUCAAGCAAAGCGUCAACGCCACCGGCCAAGCUUGUCAACUGCCUUGUCAUGGUUCUUUACGCUAAUCCUUGUGCCAUGAGGAGUCCUCGUGUCGAGAGGAACAGGGAAUGAUGGAGAUCUCCAUGGUCCAAGUCCUGAAUUUGGGCGUGCCUCGGUUCUC